rnacentral:lncRNA from 1 species
GGGAAAGCCUGGAAGGAAGUGUAUCAUUAAUUAAUUAAUUAAACACAUAAUUAUUUAUAUCAUAAGGAAUAGUAUGGGUACAUUUAAUACGUCAUAUUUAUUUGUUUUUGGACAGAUAAGAUGUUCAUGCUGUACGUUUCAAUUGGUAUUACUGCAUUUGUGGUGGUAAUAAUACUAAUUCCCAUGUCAGCUUGCCUAUUGACUAAGAAGGGGUAAGUAACUAUUUAAUUUAUUUUUGGAAGGAGUUAAGUACUUUUUUUUUUUUUGAUAGCUGUUUUGUUCUGUUUUGAUAACUUGCCAUUUUUCUCAUCAGUGGGAGGAGUCAUAGUGACCAACCAGUAACCAGUAUGCAGGACAUGGAUGCAGCCAAGUGUGCUUCCUCAGAUCCCUCAACCUUAAGGAAAAAGCAGAAAGACACCAGCAGUGAAAUCAACACAAACUACUACACCAACGAUCACCUAUAUAGCAACAUGGAGGCUGAAGAGGAUGACCCGUGCGAGUGUUAUGGUGGAGACGAUGCAGUCUAUGGUAACAUGUGAACACAACAGGAAGCAUGUGGGAGUCAGCUGGCUCAGAGGCCAUUGUACUCAGUCUGUCAAAGGCUCCAGUAAAAUAUUUACAUUUUAACCCAAUGUAGCAUAGCAGCCGACUGCUUAUUUGUUAGCUUUAUUGUUCGUAUGGCUAAAGAAUAUAGUACAUUCUUAUUUGUGUUGUGGCUUGUGUUAUGGCUUUUACAAGGCUUUUGUUUGUAUUUAUGGCUUGGGUAAAUCAGAAUGAACCUGAUAUGAAUGGCUAUACAGUUAUAAUUAUUGGGAAGUGUAUAUACAGUAUAUUAUUGGUUUUGUGUUGCCCCUUUCAACUGUAAUCCACUUAUGUGAAACUGACACUCAGGUCAGCACAGUGCUUCUGUGGUCCCCUUGAAUGUACAGAGAGAUACAGUAUAGUGUCAUUUGUCAAAACAGGCCAUAUUGAGAUAUAUUGUAUAUACUUGAGAUGGAGAAUACAACGAUUGUAAAGUAAAGUACCUUGAACAUCUUCUCCAGAUCAGAUUGAAUAGGAACAUGUGUAAAUGUUCAACAACAACAGUGAUCAAAUGAAAAAUAUCUGUUUCAUUGCAUUUUAAUAUAGUCUGUAAUGUUUGUUUCUGAAUCUCCCAAUCUACUAAUGAGUUAUUUUUCAUCCUUUAUGUACUUACUGGGACACUCUGAUCCACAUUGAUCUAAUGUGUGGGAAAAACAAACAUCUAUUGUUAUCAUAAAUCAACUUCAAGUACUCAAAGAAUGUAAAUGUCAAGCAGAAGUAAUUAUUAGUCACCAAUGAGCUGCUGUCUUCACUUGUCUUCCUCUUCUCAGGGGUCUUCACUGGUUAUCAAAGCCACAAAGUCAUAAACCCCACCUAUAUCUACAAGUGAUCUAAUUAAAAUCUGCUUAUAAACCUAACUCUAACCUUAAAUUAAAAAAAAACACAUUUUUGUUUUCAUAGAUUAUAAGGAUAUAGUCCGUUGACUUUGUGGCUGUGUAAUCUAGUUGAAACUCUUCUCAGGUCGUAGUGGCCUCUGUAAAUCAACACUUCUCCUCCUGUUGGUUCAUAGAAGGUGUUACAUCAUAUGUUUAUGUGAAAUGGAUUGAGGAUUAAUGAGCAAGAGAAGUAGUCUAAAAUGUGAACAAACCUAAUGCACCACCAGUUCUGUCUGGUCUGCUCUAGAUUUACAUCAAAGAUUAUCAUGACGAUUUUGUUGUAGAUUUGGAUCACAAUAAAUGGUGUCGCAGUAAAAGCACAUCUAGAGAAUCUAUCCCAAAGUGAUCCCCUAUAAAGUUAUAUACUCUGAGUACAAACAGUCUAAACCAUCUACGAUAUAAACAAUACACAAGGGGAAUGUUUCUUAUUUUGUUUUUUUUACAAUACAUUCUGGAACGUUGAGGGUUUAUGACACAGCCCCACUAGUAAUUGAAUAGGAUCUCUAUGGUGAUUCUGAUCCAACCAUUAAUACAUACAUUGUUUUGCCCCUGAGAGGAUGGAAGUUCAAUAUGUAGUUAAGCCAGCAAGUUAAGCCAGCAAGCAAGCAUUUUUGCCAGGUAGCCUAGGACAACAAAAAAUGAAAGCUUGUACUGUAUGACAGAGUGAUCGUUUCGUCAACAUGAGAGGAGGAUGAUUUGGAGUUUCUCUGCAAGGAGGGUCAGUCAGCAUGUUUGCACUUGCACGAACAUGCGCACACACACGCACACAGAAAUCAGAACCAUGGACAGCCACAUCAUAUUCUUCCCAAGUGAUUUUACCCACACCUGACAGCAAUGUCUUUAGGUCAGGACUUACUAUACACUUGUCUUUACUCUAUUUAAAUACAUACAUUUUGCAGUAUUAAAAUUAUAUUUUACACACUGUCAAUUUUGUUUCGCCUCAUUUAUUUGAGUUGGAAUUUCCCAAACCACUCCACUCUGCACAUGGAAGUCAGGCUUUCCUCUUGAUCAUAUGACUACAGUACCCAGAAUAUGAAUAUAUCAGAUAUGUUACAUAGACAGAACAUGAGAGGGAGCAAGAGGUGGUAUGAAAAUAGUAGACCUACACAAGGCCUUUGGUCUGAUUCUCUACUGUUCUCUCCAUAGAGUACUCUCUCACUCCCCAAGAAUACAUAGAAUAAUGAAGACACAUCCUGUGUAGGCUAAUACAUGCAACGAAUAGCCACUGAAAGAUGAAAAUAGGAGACCCAUAUGGGUUUUGAUGGGGAUAACGUCAAAGGGGCAGGCUACACUCAGUAAUACAAUAAAGUGUUACAGCGUUUGUGUUCAGCACAUUCUUUGCUUGUAAUCUGUUAAUUACUCACAGUAACAUUUGACACUUUAUCAUCUUAAUGGUAAUGUUUAGUUGAUGUAUUCAGGCACUAUAACCACUAUCUACUGUAUGUAUGAGGUCCUACAGCUGCGCCACUUGUUACUUCCUGACUGAGUCACUGCUCAACUUGAUUAGAAAAGCCAUACAUGACAAGCGAGGGUGGGGCGCUCUAUGUUGAACCAACACUUUCUCACCAUACACAUGUCUACUGGAAGACCAGUCAUUGUUAUAAGAAUCUCCCACCACCAAAGGACCAAGCAGCAGAGGAAGGAGCAAAGGGAUUUCGAGUUGGACUGGCGGGAGAAAUGGACCUGGGAGGAAGUUCUGGACGGGGCUGGACCUUGGCACCAGGCUGGGGAGUACCGUCGCCCACGGGAGGAAAUUGAGGCAGCCAAGGCAGAGAGGCGGAGGUACGAGGCCUUGGACGCGCUGAGGGAGAAGCACGAGAGGCACCCCCAAUAAUUAUUUUGGGGGGGCACACGGGUAGUUUGGCUAGGCCAAGGAAGAGCCGGAAGCCAGCUACCCGUGGUUAUAUGGAGGAGCGUAUGAGGUGGAGGGCGCCAUGUUUCGCUGAAGAGCGCACUCUCACCCAUACGCACGCACAGUCCAGUGCGCGUUAUUCCAGC